UUCUAUAUGAUAACACGACACGUGGGGAGGAGUGCCUCUCGGGAGAACUUUCAAUGGGAAACUUGACCCCUAUUUAGGUGUUACAAACGUGAAGAAAACUCGGAAAAUUCUACGUUGUCAGCCCGUCGGCAAGUGGCAAACUCACGAAAAACUACAAAUGUUUAGUGGUUUCUCCACUCAGACACUGGUGAGAAACUCUAAAAGGCCUUCAAUCCUGUUCAUUGUGGGAUGGACCAUAACCACAAUGGUAGGUAUGGUCCAACCCACAAUGGUGAGGGAGGGGGCUCAACGUAUCUGAGAUGGAGCUUUCAUGAAAAAUUCUUGGAGAGUUGCUCGCCCGGAUUUGAUCCCAACUCCUCCAGAGAGGUGGGCCAAGACCUUUACUGCCAUGAUUAUCAUCCUUUAAUCAUUAUUACACAGGAACUAAUUCAAAAAUUAAAAAUAUAAAAUAAAUCCAAAAAUUAAUCAUUAAAAUUUUUAUCUAAUUCAAUUAACGCGUAACAAUGAAUCUCAACAAUUGAUCUUUUCAUUGUUUUGCUCUUUUGUUGCGAAGAGUGCGAUUUCGAGUGAUAGAAAAAUGUUUUUUGAUUCUGGCGAUUAUCGACCCUUGGGUCCACCCUUGGGUGAGCGAUUGGUUGAAGGUAAGGAGGACUAUGGAUCGAAUAAUGACAUUAUGGGUCUUCCAACGAACAUCGAAAUGAAUAAAGGCUUCAAGAAGCACGAAGAUUGUACGGAAAAUACGAACACCAUUGGGUAUACUAUUGGAUAUACCAUUGGAUAUGCUAUUGGAUGUGCUGUUAGAGAUAGAAAGACAUUGAAAAAAGCCGGAUCUUUCUUCAAGGCAGUAUGGAAACCAGUCAAGAGAUCAGCGCAGAAAGUAUGGAAAAGUAUGAAAAAUGGAGAGACUGAGUACGUUCAGUUUGAAUAAGGAUCUCUUUUCUUCCAUCAUUGCAUCAAGUAUCCAUCUGCUUGAUUUGGUCCGAGUUCGUCUCGGAUUUAAGAAGUUUUAUUUUAAAAUAUCCAAAAAAAAUUCAAGAGAAAUCUUUAUAAAUACCAAAAAAACAUUUUAAAUUUUAAUUAUUUGGAUUUUCCGACUGUGGCUUCCUCAAACUUGUCUUUAUCCCGAUUUUGACUUUAUUCCGAUUAUGGCACUUUAACUCAAUUAUGACUUCCUCAAUUUUGACGUUAUCCCGAUUUUGACUUUAAUUUUAAUUAUAUCCCGAUUGUGACGUCUCGAAUAUUGAUUUUAACUCGAUUGUGACCUCACCAAUUUUGACUUCCAAUUGCGUCCUCUCGAAGUUUGACUUUAUUUCUGAAAAGGUUUUCGAAAUAUUAAAAGCCAUACACAUUAUGAAAUGAUUACGGAUCCUAAUCCUCAAUUUCUAUGAUUAAGAAGCGUUCGGAAAGUUCGAGAGAAUGGACUUUAAAAAUUUUCAACAAACAAACAACAUGGAUUCAUUCGAAUUACAUUGAAUUAAACGCGUGCAUAGUGCAGCUGCAAAAAAAGGAAUUUUAAUCAAUUUAAGAAUGCUUCGAGAAAAUGUUCUCUCCACAGUUCUGGCCUUUUAAACUUAACACUUCUAAAUUACUCCUCUUUAUACAGAAAUAGUUUGAUGAAUAAUUAAAUGCGACCAGAAUAGUAAUAUUAAAAAAAUGCAAAUUUUCUCUGUAAAUACUUUUCGUUGUCUAAUAAACACUUUUGUUUGAUUUUGCAUCAAAUUAUUUCAAGAUCACAAAAACUUGUCGUUAUUUUUGCUUUUUAGAUUAAAAUUAAAGCUUGUAUUGUCGAAUAAUUCGAGUGGUGCAGCUCUAAGCCAAGUUCUAGACAAGUAUGUAAAAUGUUUACGAUCACAACAAGCACUAGAUUAUUUGGAUGAAGAGCGAGCAUGGAGCACAACGCGAUAUCCAUAUUCAAAAAUAUUCCUGUGCCUAAACACAUCUGGUAGUCGGUUGCGGGUUCAUGUCUUACCAAUGGACUGACCAUGUGGACUUUUCCGGUCUUUCUUCACGAGUCUAACAUUUAAAUGGACCAAUUUCUCUUAGAAACUCCUUCUGAGAGACAUUCUCUGUUGGCAGAUUGGCCGUGUAUCGUGUUGACCUAGCUCUUCAAACCAAACUAAACCAAACCACUGUGUAAAGAUUUUAAAAUGAAGGAAAAAGAUAUAAAUGUAUUUCAGAUUACUAACGUGACAAAACGCGGAAAGCUUCCUGCGGCUAACAUGUUGGCGA